rnacentral:rRNA from 1 species
CACGUAGAUGGCGAGCGUUAUUCGGAUUCACUGGGCGUAAAGGGUCCGCAGGGGGCCCUCCAAGCCGGCCGUGAAAUCCCGGGGCUCAACCCCGGGGGUGCGGCCGGGACUGGCGGGCUGGAGUGCGCGAUGGGCAAUUGGAACACCGGGAGUAGCAGUGGAAUGCGUGGAUAUCCGGUGGAACACCGAUGGCGAAGGCGAAUUGCUGGCGCGCGACUGACCCUCAGGGACGAAAGCGUGGGUAGCGAAC